CCUACGGGUGGCAGCAGUGAGGAAUAUUGGUCAAUGGGCGCGAGCCUGAACCAGCCAAGUAGCGUGAAGGAUGACUGCCCUACGGGCUGUAAACUUCUUUUAUAAAGGAAUAAAGUGAGGCACGUGAGCCUCCUUGUAUGUACUUUAUGAAUAAGGAUCGGCUAACUCCGUGCCAGCAGCCGCGGUAAUACGGAGGAUCCGAGCGUUAUCCGGAUUUAUUGGGUUUAAAGGGAGCGUAGAUGGGUUGAUAAGUCAGUUGUGAAAGUUUGCGGCUCAACCGUAGAAUUGCAAUUGAUACUGGCAGUCUGGAGUGCAGUUGAGGUGGGCGGAAUUCGUGGUGUAGCGGUGAAAUGCUUAGAUAUCGCGAAGAACUCCAGUGGCGAAGGCAGCUUACUAGACUGCAACUGACAUUGAUGCUCGAAAGUGUGGGUAGCAAACAGGAUUAGAUACCCCUGUAGUC
rnacentral:rRNA from 1 species